ACCUUUAUGUCUAGCUCAGGGAUUGUAAACGCACCAGUCAGAGCCCUGUCAAAACAGACCACUCGGCUCUACCAAUCAGCAGGACGUGAGUGGAGCCAGAUAAGAAAAUAAAAGCAGGCUGCCGGAGCCAGCAGUGGCAACCCGCUCGGGUCCCCUUCCACACCGUGGAAGCUUUGUUCUUUCGUUCUUUGCGAUAAAUCUUGCUACUGCUCACUCUUUGGGUGCACGCUGCCUUAAGAGCUGUAACACUCACCGCGAAGGUCUGCAGCUUCACUCCUGAAGCCGGCGAGACCACGAGCCCACCAGGAGGAACGAACAACUCCAGACGCGGUGCCUUAAGAGCUGUAACACUCACCGCAAAGGUCUGCAGCUUCACUCCUAAAGCCAGCGAGACCACGAGCCCACCAGAAGUAAGAAACUCCGAACAUCAGAAGGAACAAACUCCAGACGCGCCACCUUAAGAGCUGUAACACUCACCGCGAGUGUUCGCAGCUUCAUUCUUGAAGUCAGUGAGACCAAGAACCCACCAAUUCCAGACACACGUGGACUUAAUUUAAGCUCCAAGACAUUGUCAUGUCCUCUGUAAGAUAAGAUCCCCAUAUUCCCUACAUAUUUUUCACAAAAUUUUCAUUAUACAUUUAUGUAUAAUGAGAUGUUACAUUUUCUUAGUAGUAAAGCAGUUCCUCAAAAAAAAAGUACCAUGUGAUUCAGCAAUUUCACUUCUGGCUAUACAGCCAAUAUAAGUGAAAUCAUGGCCUCAAAUAGUUGCUUAUACACCUGUGUUCAGAGCAGCACUAUUCUCAAUAACCAAAAGGUAGAAGCAACCCCAAUAUCAAUCAGCAGAUGACUGGACAAGCAAAAUGUGGUAUAUGCAUAUAAUGCAAUAUUAUCCAGCUUAAAAAGUGAGGAAAUUCUGACACAUGCUAAAAUACGAAUUAAUCUUGAAGACAUUAUGCUAAAUAAAAUCACAGAAAGACAAAUAUUACACGUUUCUACUUAUGUGAGGUACCUAAAUUGUACAAAUUCAUAGAGACAAAACAGAUUGGUGGCUGCCAGGGGUUGGGAAGAGAGGAGGUUGGGGAAAUAAUGUUUAAUGGGUACAGUUUCAGUAGGGGAAGAUGGAAUAGUUCUGAAGAUGGAUGGUGGUGGUGAUUACACACAGUGUGAAUGUACUUAAUUCCACAAUGCUGUACACUUAGAAAUGGAUUAAAGAGCAAAUUUUAAGUUAUAUGUAUUUUACCACAUAAAAAAGAGAUUAAAAAAUAGUUCAGUAAGUUCUUGGCUAGUAAGUUAAACAAAAGAUCAGAGGAAUAAAACAACUUGGCAGGAACCUUAUGAAAAGGAUUCUGCUACUGAAAUGGUUAAAUUUAAUAACUCUUAGGUGGUAAGAAAAUGACCCUGUGUCUAUGUAUUAAUUCUUAUUACUGAUAUAUCCACUGGCCUCUUUCUCAUUUCUCCUUGCAUGUGAAAAAAGUUUUUCUAAUCCAUGCCCCAAAUUGAACUCUUGAUCUCUUUUAUAAAACACCACAAAAAGUUGUUCUUGCUGCAUUACAUUCAGUCUCAGUGAGUGACAACUCCAUCAUUCUGACUGAUCAUGCCAAAAUGUUGGAGGCAUCUCAGUUUCCCCUUUCUCUCCCAUGAUAUAUCCAGUCGUACAAGAAAAUUUACAGAUUCUAUUUUCUAAAUUAUCCAGGAUUCGAUCACUUCUACCCUGUUCCAAAAUGACUUCCUUUCUAGGUGGCAAGCUUUUAUUUGUUUGUUUGUUUGUUUAAUAGCUUUCUACCUGAUUUCAUUAUUUUCUUCCUUGGUGAAAGGCUUUUUUCACUACAUCAUCCAGGGAAGUUAUGUUACAUAAAUCAGAUCAUGUUCCUUCACUACUGAAACUUCAGUUGAUUCCCUUUCUACUUUUAGUAAAAUCCAGUCAUUCCUUAGUCACUCCACCCAUGCCACAUUGACCUCAUUUUAUUCAAAUAAACCAAGUACCUUACUACCUCAGGAGCUUUGCACUCAUGUCCUAUAACUGUUUGCCCUCAAAUAUGAGUUUCAUGACUAAUUUGCUUACUUUCUUUAGAUCUUUAUUCAAAUUUUACCUUUUUAAUGAUGUCUUCACUGAAUAUUUUUUAUUGCAAUUUCCUCCCCCUGUAUAUCUAUCAGUCUUCUCUGCUGUACUUUUCUUAGUAAUAUUUAUUAGCAUCUCACAUACUAUGUUACUUCUGUAUUUUAUUUAUUGGUACUCCCAUACUCAGUUAUAAAUUUGAUAAGGGUAGGAUUUUUUCUCUGAUGUCUAAAACAAUUCAUAACAUGUAGUAAACCACCCAACAUUUUUUAAGUUAAAUGAAUAACAUAUCUUUACUUUAUGACUAAGGAGUAUGUUAAUGGCCUAAUGGGUAAAAUUUCAUAGAAGCAAGAAAUCUCACUCAAAGUCUGAAGUAAUUCAAUACGUUAGUCACUGGUGUCUGCUACUUGGGAAUGGAAAAAAGAUUAGUGUGGGUCAGGUAGCACAGUCUAUUGCAUUUGGAAUUAGCUCUGCAAGAUCCCAUGUAGUUUGUGUUACUUUUUUAAAAAUAAAUUGAUGAGCACCUUAAAAAAAACUUAGAUUCAGGGACCAAUACUGAUAAUAUAUGUUUUGAUGACAGUAUUAAAAAUAAAUGAGUUAUCAGAGAGUGUAAGCAUUUAUGAAACACUUGCUAUGUAUCGGAUACUCUCCUGGGCCCUUUAGACAUCAUUUUCACAUGCUAUUUUAUUCAGUUCUAAUCAGUAUACCACAAAGUGUGUAUUUCUAUUGGCAUAUUUUCAAAUGUGAAACUUGAGGAUUAUAGAAUAAGAAUCAUUUGUCAAAUCCCAUAAAAUGAGUAUCUUGUAGAGUUGACAUACCUUGUGUCAUCUCUCUGACUGUAAAUAGCUUUUUUUUUUUUAUCCUCCCAGUAUCUUAUAGUAGAGAACAUGUGUCCCCUGGAAAUUAAUUAAAUAUUAGCAGAAAUAAAUGUGAUCAAUUUUAAAUGUAGCUUCAAUUCCUAAACAUCUGUUUUCAGAACUCUUCUCUGUUAAACCAUGGAAAGAUCUAUUUCCUUCUUUUCAUAAGUCUUCGGUCAAGCCGUGAAAACUAAAAUCAAUGUACUGAUUCAACCAGUAUGGUCUUUUUAAGUUUUAUUGGAUUUUUGUUUGUCUUUAGUUCUUUUAUUUUUUGCAGUUUUAAUCUGUGCACAGAGAACAUCUUUUCUAUUCCUUGUUGCUGUUAAUAGCAGAGCAGCAUUUUUUUCUUAGUCACCAUUUCUUCCUGCAUACAGAACCAUUACCCUCUGUCUACUUCUAUCACCCUGAAAUCUUCUAUCUUACUUUUCAGAUCUUUUUUGCUAUACCUCUUUCAAGAAAUCAGGUAUUAAAAAUAAAUAAUUAUUAUCUGAUAUUCAACCUAUUUUUAACACCUCAUUUAUUUUUGAUACUUGAUUUUUUGAAAAAGCAUAACAUUAAGGAAGUAAGGUAUCUUAAUAUAAAUCUUUCACAACUGAAUAGGUUCAUUUUUAUAAACUAGCACUUGUUUUUCAUUUUAUACUAUACUCAAUUUAUUUAGAUCUGUUAAUUGCCUCUGAAUAGUAUGUGAAAACUGUCAUCAUUCAGCUUGGGAAAAAUAUCCUCAUAAUGAAGUUAUUUACAGCUAUGUCUGCCAUUAGUGUCAUUAGUGCCACUAAUAGAAAAUAAGAAAAUUGGAAUGGCAAAGGUUAGACAUAUAAUUGAUUUCUUUCUUCUGAUACUUAAUUGCAAGUGCUAAAACUUCCUAGAUGUUAAAUUGACUGAAAAAAAAAAAAAAAUGAUAGAAGCAGAUGUAUGUUGCAGGGGUAGAGGGUUCACUGUAUUUGAUAUUUAUAUAGCCCUGUGAGUGACUCAAUUCAACUUUCCUGGCUUAGGGGAAAAGGGUUAAUGUUUGACCUGACCGGUGAGUCCCAAUGAUAAGAGGUCAGGAAGAACUCUUUACUGGGGAUUUAGGAGGUUAUAGAAUAAUGAAGGAUGCAGCUAUGAGUCCAGCAAAUUGUGAAUGUAAACAGAGGGCAUUUUAGGGAAAUUAUUUAGUGUAAGUUUUUCUACCAUGGUGGAUGCGAUAUGAAAUAGACGCAAGACAAAUCCUAAUCCAAAAUUUACCUUAAAAUAAAUAUAUAGCUAUAACUUACAUUAAAGAAUCUAACAACUUAAUUUUACCAUUCACACAUUUAAUAAGUAUACAUUCAGAAAUGUACUUUUCAGUGAACUGUAGGAAUACAAAUGUGAAUCAAAUUAGUCAAGGAUUAGGCCCUGAAAAUUGAAUUAUCACAUGUUAAGUGUGCACAAAUAUUUAAGCACAAAGUAGAAAAUGAUAUAUUUUUAAAAGAGGUCUCCCCCAAAAACAAGCAGUAAAAGAAAGGGGAUAAUUUUUAUCAGUUGCGGAAGCUUUAGGGAGAAGUAGCAACUAAACUGAAUCUUGAACAGUUUGAUAAAGGCAACUAAGUAGAUGAACAGCAUAAAGAAUAAUGAAAACAACAAAUUCAUUGUUAUUUUAGAACAAUAAUCACAGGGUCAGAGCUGUAUUCAUGGAAAAAUACAUGACAAGGGAGAACCCUUAGGUAAAGUCACUAAUGAAAAUGCAGUUUAAUCGAGACGUGAGGAAUGGCAAGUGUACAAGGCAUAUGCAUUUGCAGCACAAAGAGAAUCACAAAAGAAAAUGAGAUUUCUGUCCCAGAGAUACUUAGGUGGCAAUUUCUGUGCCAGAAUUACUUAGGUGAUUGGAAAUGUAAAGCAUGAACUCAAAUCUGAAGGUAGCUGUCCAAGAGUCAAGAGUUACUGAUUUUGCUGAGAAAACAAUAUAGAAAGAAAAAUAAGAUUAAAGUAAUUUUCUUAAGAAAUACCUACAUUUAAAGAAUAAGAGAAAGAGGUUAGAGCAUGAAGAGUAAUCGGAAACAAUCCAGGAGAGAAUAGUACCACAGAAACCUUUAAAAAUAAUUUCAAAUAAAAGGAGUACUGAUACUGUACAUUAAGAUUGGUUGCAGCUUACAAAAGCUACAUAUUCUAUAUAUGGAUUUAUAUGAGGCUAUAGAAAAGAUAAAACUACAGGGACAGGGAACACAUCAGUGAUUGCCAGCGACUGUGGGUGAGGGUAAUUACUGAAGACAAAGGGAAAGCAUAAGGCAAUUUUUUGAAUUGAUGACUGUUCUUAUCAAUAUUGUGGCUGUAGAUCAUGAACCGAUGCAUUGUUCAAAACCCAUAGAACUGUACACAACAAAGAGUGACUUUACCAAUUGUAAAUUUAAAAAAAAAAAAACAAAAAGAGAGAAACAAUAGAGUCAUUGGUUUGCUGACUUAAAAAUGUAUAUUCAGAAUGUGGAAGAUGAAGGGUAUAUGGUAAAGAAAUGGAAGCCAUAUGAAUUCUGUUUUCAAAACGUUUCCCAGUUAAGAAGAAAAAAAAAAAGACGGUAGCUUCAGGACAUACCUCAGUUGAUUAAAGAAAGGUUAUUUAAAGAGAGGAAACUUGGAGAUGUCUUUCAUAGAGGUUAAAAAAGAACAUACAUAUUCAAAGGAGAGUAAAUAAUUAAUAAAGAAAAUCUUUGAGGCCAUUGGAGGUAAUGGAAAGACAGCAAGAGUCUUUUUUUAAAUAUACUUACAAGAGGGCAAAAGGAGUGGAGAAUGAAUAUAGAUAGAAUCAUUCUAAGGGAUCAUCACUUCAACAUGAAUCUUGUUAAAAGGUUGUUCACUGGAAUUUGAGAUGGAACUAUAGCAAAAUCUUGUUUAGCCGGGUCCAAUGUACCUUUCUUAUUAAUAAAGUCCAAAUAUUCAGGUUUCUUAACCUCCCAAAUGCCCUGCCCUCUUAUGAGUCCCAAAGUGCAAGUGUUGAUUGGUCUAAACCAAUGGCUCUCAGUGUAUGGUCCCUAGACCAGCAACAGCACCAUCACCUGGGGAUUUGGUAAGCCCAGAGAUCUGUGAUUUUAAAAAGCCCUUGAUGUGAUUUUGAUCUACCGUAAGCUUUAAGAACUACUGGUCUAAGCCUAAAAGUAUACUUCCAUUUCAUCUCUUUAUGAUUACACAUGAGUAUAGCAUUCAAACCCAGCCAAGGAAAAAAACUGGGAAGAUUGCUCUUUGUUAUUGGUGAACGAUUUCUUUCUGACAAGAGACACCCAGGGGUAAUUAGCCUUUUCUGCUUUUGGAUGAUUUGUCGUAUGUGGAUGUGAUAUUAAAACCGCAGUGCGCGCGCACACACACACACACACACACUCACCUUGGGGAGGAAACAUAAACAUAAAAGCCGAUAUGUUGCAUAUGGUAGAAUGAAAACUUGGAAGGCACCUGGGUUCUUGAUGACAUCCUUAUAUCACUAAAAUUUAGUAAACUUAAAACUAUCUAUAUCUGGUAAAUUACUAGUAAGUUAAUAAAUGAUCUCAUUGUUUAAGCCACUAUUAAUUGUGGCAUCUUAUGCUUGCAGCCACAGGCAUCAAAACUGAUAUGAAAAAUAACAAGUUGGUUCUGUUACAUUCUCCAGCAUCUUCCUUCCUAUAAAAAUAUUCUAGUUAAUAGGCUGGGCGCGGUGGCUCACACCUGUAAUCCCAGCACUUUGGGAGGCUGAGGUGGGCGGAUCACGAGGUCAAGAGAUCAAGACCAUCCUGGCUAACACGGUGAAACCUCACCUCUACUAAAAAUACCAAAACUUGGCUGGGCGUAGUUGUGGGCCCCUGUAGUCCCAGCUACUCAGGAGGCUGAGGCAGGAGAAUCUCAUGAACCCAGAAGGCGGAGCUUGCAGUGAGCGGAGAUUGUGCCCCUGCACUCCAACCUGGGCGAAAGAGUGAGACUCCAUCUCAAAAAAAAAAAAAAAAAAAAAAGUAUAAAUUUUGUAUGCCUUUAUCAAUAAAUGUUUUAAUCAACAAAUAUGAGAGUAUCGGCAUCAUCUUUGCCUAGACAGAAGUGCACAAUCUGAAACCAGAUAUCAAGAUAUUUAUCAAGUCAUUAUUAUCAUGAGAAGUGGUGUUUUUGGCAAACAUAGCAGCCUAAUUCCACAAGUAUAUUAACAUUAGGAUUUAAUUUACCUGGAAUACAAAAGCAAUAAAAAAAGAAGGAAAAUGAGGAUGAUGAAGAAAAUAUACUUAAAUUUUUAUAAUCCUUGAAUAAUGAUGAAUAUGAAUUUCAUUAUAUAGUUAUCUUAGUUUUUGUAUACUUAAAUUAUUUUAUAUUAAAAUUAAAAAAUACGUCAAAGCAAAACAAAGAUUAAAAAAGGAUCGAAAAAUACAAAUGCAUGAAAACAAAUUUAGCUAUUUUAUUAUAAGACAAAUGUUAUUUAAAGCAAAAAUAAAUUCAGUUACAUAAUAAAAUAAUCUUUCAUAAUUAAAAUGUAUACAUAUAGAAGCAAUAGUUAAAACAUAUACAACAAAUGCUGAUAUGAUUAUAAGGAGAAAUCAAGAGAUUUGCAUCAUUGGAAGAUUUUUAACAUAUCUCUUUAAAAAAUGAUCAAAAACACAAUUAGGCUGUGAUUAACUUAGCCAAAAAUAUUACUUCAAAUAAAUAGAUUUGUAGAGUAUAAUGCAGUCAGUGGAUAAAAUAAAUUCUUUUAAAAUAAAUAUAAAAGGUUUAGAAAAUUUGAUGUACUACCAAGUAAAUAAAGUAGCAUACCAUUACGUAAAUUUUAAAAAUAUGAAAAACAAUCAUAUACAAUUUAUACUAUCAUAUAUAAAAGUAUAAUAUUUGUGUUAAAAAUUGGGAAUGAAAAUUUUAAUAUCUAAUUUCAGAGUUGGGUUGUUUGAAGUGCUUGAAAUGCAGAGUGGUUAUCCUUGGUUACACAGGGGGCCAGUGGGAAAAAUAGUGGUAAAACUCACAUUUGAUUUAUUGGAUAUUUUUUACUAUUAGUUAAACAUAAUUUUACUAUAAUGGAAGUAAGGUUGCACAAUGUAAUUUUAUUACUUCAAUAUACCUACAGUUAUUUACAGUAAGUAUAAAUUUCUGUAAAUGAGAAUGUGACAUUCUCUUUCUCCUCUGCCUCUCAUUUCUUGUUCUCUUUCCUAACAAGAACAUUGUGUUAAGAUUAUUUUAAAUUUAAUGGGUCUGUAUUUGUGAAUUACAAUGGUCAAAUUGUAUUACAAACAGGCAGAAAGUAAUUCCAGUUAUUCGUAUUUAGAGAAAACUUUUUCAUGAACAGAGUUAAAAUUGUGAGCCAGGAUUUAACUACUAAUGUCUGUGAACAAGACCUGUAUAUUGCCACACAUUCCCUGAAGGUAUUUCUAAAGCAGUUUUAUCUACUCUAAAGUAGGUGACAUAUAUAAUGAAGCCAGGGAAAAGGAUAACCUAAUGUUUGUGGUUGUCAGAUGAUUUUUAGAUUUAUGAAAUAUCCCAAAUCAAGCACUUUAUAUUUUUAAUAUGUAUCAGAAGAAAAUUCUUGGAUUUAUCUUCUGUGCUAAUUUAUAUUGAGUCUUGCAAUAUUUUAUUUAGAAUGAUAGUGUCUGACAUGAAUGUCUUCAGCUUUCUAAUUACUACUAAUACUCUCAAAGUGAAUGUAGUUAAAUCCAAUUAUAUAUCUAGUUACUGAAAUAUCAAUAAUAAACCAUAUAAUGCUUAUUUCCUUUGUUAACUGGUAAAUUUAUUUUACUAAAGCUUACUUGAGGCAGCUAUUAAAUAGAUUAAUGAAUCAUAAUUGUUAAAAUUUAAUUUUUCAAAUCUAAAUAUUUUAUCAUUAUAGAAAUGUUCUACUUUUGUCAUGUGUCUACUCUGUGAAAACAUUGUUCUAAACUGUAUAGUAGCUAGAGAGGAGAGGGAUUGAGAAAUCAGUGGUAAAGAUGCAUAAGAUAGUCUUGAUGCUCUUAGGAAUUGCCUGUGCCCAGCUGAGGGAGACAGGUAAAUACAAGUGAAAGAUGCUCCAAUAAAAAAUAUAGUAGAGAAAUGGGGUUUACUUCCUGGAAGAAUCAGGGAAGGAUGAAGUGACAUUUGUGCUGGAAUCCUGACAGAUGAGUGAGAACUCAUCAGGAAAAAGGGAAGUGGCAUAUUACAGAUAAGUUAAAAAAAUAGUUUUAGAAAACUUAAUCUUGUAUGAGCUGUUAACAUGCCUAGAAAUUUAAACGGAUAUAAUACUUUCAUAGUAAUGAAUUUUUAACUAUCUGCACAUAUUUGCAUAGAGUUCACUGAUUUUAUUAAAUGACAGUACACUCAUAUGAUGUGGAUAAAUACAAAUACAUGACCAUAUAAUUUUAGUAUCCAAGAUGUUGCCAACCCUAAAUGAUGGGAGUGAGGAUGCAGAAUUCCCUCAGCUUAGAAUCUCUCAUCUUUAUAUUCUCUACCUGUUCUAUCAUCCUGAUUUAGGCAGUCCUUGGAACUAUAGUCUCUAUUCAACACAUUUUUGAAAAUACUAUUCUAUUUUCAAAACAGUCCAACCCCUUCAGUAAACUGAGUAUUAUUUUGCAUGAUAUGCCACAAAAUUUUAAGAAAAUUUGAAUCACAUUUUCUUUACUCUCAGUUUAAUGUUACUUUCAGUGCUUCUUGCUGCAUCAAUGUUAUCUUAUAGUAAUUAGAACUAAAUAGGUAUAAAAAAAUCAAUUUACAUUCUGGAGAAAAAAGAAGCUAAAUGACUCUCUCUGUAAAGUUUUCCUUUCAUCUUGGUGAAGUCCCUUCAUUCAUUGCUUAAAGAUUAAGUUUUAACACUAAGAUUAACAUUCUAACCCAUUUAGUUAGUUGGAGGGAAUUUCAUUCCUGCUUAAAUUCAAGUAUUUAAAGCCUCAAACUACUUAAAAUUAAAUUGGCCCCGUAGAGAAAGCACAUCACCAUAAGUAUUACUUAAAGAUGUUAUCAACAUUCAGGAAUAUAUCUUAAUUGGUAAUGACGAAAAAUAAUAAUAAAAUUUUAAAUGCUAUUUCUGUUAUGUGGGAAUUUUCUAGUUUUUUGGAUGUUACAAUUAAAUAUCCUUGCUUAGUAGACAUUUUUAUAUAUCUCCAAUGUUCUCAAAUGUCAGGUCUAUCAUGUUUCAAAGGCAGUCUCCUGGGUUGUGUUGCCUUGACAACAAAUCUUGGUUUUGUUGUUCUUGUUAAGUUGAAUUCUUGGAUUCUGAGAAUUUAAUAAAACUCUUGCUGGAUUCAAAUCAAUGACCUUUCUCAGAGCCGUAAAAACAACUGAUCAUUCACUAAACCAUUCAUCAAGUUAAGAUAAAUAUACCUGUUAAUAUUUGUGCUCCUACUCAGUUUGGAUACAAGUCAAAAUAAUUUGACAAAUAUUAUUUUUAUCAUUAUUUUAUAAGAAUUAGUAAUUUACUUAAAAAAUUAGCAAUGUUAUUUCUAAGGGAUACUAAUUUGAAAGAGGACUUGUCUUUCAAAGGAUUUUAUAUUCAGAAAUGAGUAGACUACUUUAAAUUAAAAAGUAGAUCAGACAUUUAAUAUCUAGAGUUUUUCAAAAAGGAUGGGUUUCAACAAUUUUAUAAAGUUUGAACCUGUUAAGCUAGGUUUUAAAUUAUUUGAAUGUUUUUUGAAAUUUCCUUCUCUGUCUUGUCAUUAUGAGUUAGAUUUUGUUCCACUUUUAUUUAUUUCACAUAAGGCUGAUAUUUCACAAACUUCAAAUAAGUCAUAAAUUAACUAUAGCAUCAUUUGCAAAUCUUCCAUCUUUCUGGGGUUACCAUGCCUUUUGAGAUUUAAGCAAAAUUGAACCAAACAUUCAUUGAUUUUUCACAAGAUACAGAUUUUUUUUUUUUCCAGGAAACAGGCCUGUGUACUUGCAAUUGCUCUUCUAGUCAUUUCUUAUGCAAACCUGUUCUUUUUGAAGCACGUCAACUCAAUGAAGAUAGUGUUGACUGUAAUUCUUAGCAGAAAUAUAUAAUAUAUAUACACAGAUAACCUGUAUAUAUCUAUAUAAGUAGAUAUAUAGAUUGGAAAUAUUGCAGAUUUGAUUCCAUACCACCACAAUAAAGUAACUAUUGCAAUAAAGCAAAUCACACACAUUUUUAGCCUCCAAGUGAAAAUAACACGUUUAUAUGAUACUGUAGUCUAUUAAGUAUGCACUAGCAUUAUGUCUAAAUAAAAUGUAGACAUAUUAUUUAAAAAUACCUUAUUGGGGCCGGGCAUGGUGGCUCACACCUGUAAUCCCAGCACUUGGGGAGGCCGAGGCGGGCGGAUCAUGAGGUCAGGAGAUCGAGACCAUCCUGGCUAACACGGUGAAACCCCCUCUCUACUGAAAAUACAAAAAAUUAGCUGGGCGUUGUGGCGCACAUCUAUAAUCGCAGCUACUGGGGAGGCUGAUGCAGAAGAAUCACUUGAACCCAGGAGGCGGAGCUUGCAGUGAGCCGAGAUUGCGCCACUACACUCCAGCCUGGGUGACAAAGCAAGACUCCCUCUCAAAAAAAAACCUUAUUGCUAAAAAAAAAAAAAAAAAAAAAAAAAAAAAAUGCUAAUGAUCAUGUGAACUUUCAGUAAGUCAGAAUCUUUUUGCUGAUGGAGGGUCAUGCCUCGAUGUUGAUAGCUGCUGACUGAUCACAGUGGUAGUUGCUGAAGGUUGAGGAGGCUGUGGCCAUUUUUAAAAAUGAGAUAGCCAUGAUGUUUGCCACAUUGGUUGACUCUUCUUUAUCUUCUUUUUUUUUUUUUUUUUUUUUUGAGAUGGAGUUUUGCUCUUGUUGCUCAGGCUCGAGUGCAGUGGUAUGAUCUUGGCUCACCGCAACCUCCGCCUCCUGGGUUUAAGCGAUUCUCCUGCCUUAGCCUCCUGAGUAGCUGGGAUGACAGGCACCUGCCACCAUGCCCAGCUAAUUUUGAUUUUUUUAGUAGUAACAGGGUUUCACCAUGUUGGCCAGGCUGGUCUCGAACUCCCAACCUCAGGUAAUCUGCCCUCCUCGACCUCCCAAAGUACUGGGAUUACAGGUGUGAGCCACCAUGCCCGGCCAACUCUUCUUUCACAAAAUAUUUCUCUGUAGCAUAUAAUGCUGUUUGAUAGAACUUUACCCACAGUAAACCCUUCAAAAUUACAGUCCUUCUCUUAAACUCUGCAGCUGCUUUAUCAACCAUAUUUAUGGAGUAUUCUAAAUUCUUUGUUGUCAUUUAAACAGUAUUCUCAACAUCUUUACCAAAAAUAGAUUCCACAUCAAAGAACCAUUUUGUUUCCUUUUUUUGUCAUUGAAUGUAGUGGCAAAAAUCACAAUUCUGCACCAACGUACUCAGUCACAUCUUGAGGGUUCACUUCUAAUUUUAGUUCUCUUGCUGUUUCCAUCACAUCUGCAGUUACUUCCUCCACUGAAGUCUUAAGCCUCCCAAAGUCAUCCAUGUGGAUUGGAAUAAACUUCCUCCAAACUCCUUUUAAUGUUGAUAUUUUGACCUCUUCCCAUGAACCGUUAAUGUUCUUAAUGGUAUCUAGAAUGGUGAAAGCUUUCUAGAAGGUUUUCAGUGUAUUUUGCCAAGGUCUAUCAAAGAAAUCACCAUUUAUGGCAGUUAUAGCCUUACAAAGUGUAUUUAUUAAAUAAUAAGACUUGAAAGUUGAAAUUACUCUGAUUCAUGUGCUGCAUAAUGGGUGUUUUGUUAGAAAGUACACAAAUAAGGAGAUUUACAAAUCCCCUUGUACGUCUCUAUAAGAGUUCUAGGGUGAUCAAGACCGGUAUCAAUGAGCACUAAUAUUUUGUUGUAUGAGCACUACAUCUCAACAGUGGGCUUCAAAUAUUUAAUAAACCAUUGCUGAAAACAGACGUGCUGUCAUCCAGGCUUUGUUGUUCUAUUUAUAGGCAAAAUAUUUAGCAUAAUUCUUAAGAGCUAGGAUUUUCAAAAUGGUAAAUGAGCUUUGACACCAACUUAAAUUUAUGUUUCCCCCUGAAAAGGAAGUGAGCCUGUCCUUUUACGGCAGGCACUGACUUCUCCUCUCUAGCUAUGAAAGUCCUAGAUGGCGUCUUCUUCCAAUAUAAGGCUGUUUUAUCUGCAUUUAGAAUCUGUUAUUUAAUGUAUCCACCUUCAUCUAUGAUCUUAGCUAGCUAUUCUAAAUCAGGGGUCCCCAACCACGGGGCCAGUUAGGAACUGGGCCACACAGCAGAAGGUGACUUGUGAGCAAGCAUUACCAUCUGAGCCCAGCCUCCUGUCACAUCACCAGCGUCAUUAGAUUCUCAUAAAAGUUUGAAUCCUAUCGUGUGAACUGCGCAUGCAAAGGAGCUAGGUUAAGCACUCCUUAUGAAAAUCCAAUUAACUCAUGAUGAUCAGAGGUAAAACAGUUUCAUUUCAAAACCAUCCCCACCCCCAUCUUUAGAAACAUUGUCUUCCAGGAAACCAGUCUCUGGUGCCAAAAAUAUUGGGGGUGGCUGUUCUAUACAGAUAACUUGCUGCAGCUUCUACGGGAGCAUGUGCUGUUUCACCUUGUACCUUCAUUUUGUGGAGAUAGCUUCUUUCGCUAAACUUCAUGAACCAACCUCUGUUAGCUUCCAACUUUUCUUCUGUAGCUUCCUUCCCUCACUCAGCCUUCAUGUAACUGAAGAGAGUUAGGGCCUUACUCUGGGUUAGGCUUUGGCUUAAGGGACUGUUGUGACUGGUUUGAUCUUCAGUGAUGUUCCAGAUCACUGAAACUUUCUCUACAUCAGCAAUAAGGCUCUUUUACUUUCUUACUGUUCAUAUGUUUACUGGAGUCGCCCUUUAAAAAAUUUUUUUAAGCUUUUCCUUUGCAUUCACAGCAUACUUAAUAGGCACCUGAGGCCUAGUUUUGGCCUCUCUCUGAUUUCAACGUGCCUUCCUUUCUAAGCUUAAUCAUUUCUAGCUUUCAACUGAAAGUAAAAAAAAAAAAAAAAGUGUAUGACUCUUCAGUUGAACACUUAGAGGCCAUUGUAGGGUUAUCAAUUGGCCUAGUUUCCAUAUUGUUGUGUCCUAAGUAAUAGAGAAGCCUGAGGAGAGGGAGAGAGACAUGGGAACAAGUGGUAGGUGGAGCUGUCAGGACACAAACAACAUUUAUUGUCUAAGCUUGCUGUCUUAUAUGAGUGUGGUUCAAGUUGCCCUAAAACAAUUACAAUAGUAACAUCAAGAUCACUGAACACAGAUCACCAUAACAGAUAUAAAGCAGUAAAAAUUUGGAAAUAUCUAAAGAGUUACCAAAACGUGACACAGUCAUGAAGUGAUCACAUGCUGUUGGAAAAAUGGUGCCAAUAGAUUUACUUGAUGCAGUGUUGCCACAACAUUUAGUUUGCAAAAAAAAAAUAUCCGUGGCAUGUAGUAAAGCAAAGUGCAAUCAGACAAACUAUGCCUGUAUAUAAAAAUUCAGUGAUCUAUAUCCUGAAAACUGAUGCACUUUAUUAAGCUAUGCACCCCAAGAAAAAUUCAAUAAAAAUGAAUUUAUAUUUCUUAGUAUCCUCAUUUUAACGUGUUCUUAACUGGCUUUAUUCAAUUAAAAAAGAAAAAACCUUAGUUUGUUGAUUUAGUUAUAUUCUUCCAAAUCAUGGAGCUAAUACAUAGCUUAGUUUUAUUUUUAUUGUGUUUUAGCCUUGUCUGGAAACAAAAAUAGUUGGAAUGAGAGUUAGUUUAGAAUGAUGACAAGAGAGCAAAAUACAUUCCAAAAAUUUUCAAAUAAUUUCCAAAUCAUUGGAUUCUAAAUUAUCACCUGGCCUUAUUCUCUUCUGCCUGAAGGAACUAGUCUUCAUUAUUUCUUCCCAUUAGGGUGGAGAUAAUUGGUGUCAGCAAAGUGAACUAUCAACCAUAUCCCCUCCUUAUUCUUCUAAGGUCUGAUUAAUUAGUCCUGAGAAGAAAUAAUAUUUAAAGUUUUCACAGGAUAUUUUUAUUUUAUAUUUUAUAUUGUAUCCAAAAAUUAUGGUACUUUUCUGAACCUUUUCAUACAUUCCUUUAUAUGUAACUUUGCAGACUUUUGCUACUUUAUGAUGAAGAGACUCCAGAGGAAACAAAUAACACAAGCAGAUAAUCAAUGAGAAUUGAAUGAAAGGACUGUUUACACACUAGUGAGCAAGGGGAACCUUAGGGCCAGCACAGUGGGAGACUUUACUGUCCCUAAACUUAAGGAGCAGAAGCCAUGGGAUGGAAUCUGAAAGGAGUGAUGGCAUUGGUCAGAUGUAUACAAGCAGAGCUAAGUGGUUGUGCUCAUUGUGCUGUAUCCAGUAAUCACUGAUACUCUCUUUGCCCUGAAUCAAUAUAUUUCAAAGAGGAUACACUGACAUUUUAAAGUAAAUGUAAUAUCUCAAAAUCUCUGGGCUGGGGCCCAAAAUCUUGACUUUAAUAAUCCACAUAGAUGUGUUUUGCAGAAGAAGACCGUGUUUGGAAAACUGCAGUCAUCCUGGGAAACUUUUUAUUCUAAGAUCUUUUUGGUUCCCAUCAUCACACAUACCAAUGCCAUGAGUCAUUAUUGCUAUAAAAGUAUCACUUUCCAAGGUUCCUGAGUUUACCACCCUCAUGUACUUACAGGGUUUUUAUAACGAUUAUAUUUUGAGGCAAAUGGUAUUUGUUCCUCAACAAACACAUUUAUUAUAUAGAAUUUUAUGGAAAUACUGCUUCUCUGUUUUAAUAGUUUAAAAUCUUUUGUGAGAUGGGAAAGAACUGUUGUUUCAUUUUAUUAUAAUGAAAAUAAAUUAGAGACAAAAAGCCACCCAAAAUUUCCUUUAACUUGUAAAUACUGGUUACUAUUCCAAUUUUAAUAUAUUAGAGCCCCCUACCAACAUUUCUGAAGCAAAAUUAAUCUAUUGAAAUUAAGAUCCCUUUUUCUCCCAAUGAAGUUAAAAACUAACAAUAUGUAAGAAACAAAUUAGACCAAUGAGUUCAAGGAUUUGAGUGUAAGGAAUGACUUCUGUUUAAGUUCUAUUUUGUUGGCUUUGGAAUAUUUCUGCUACAAAUACUACACUGUAGCACCUUGUUAUUUUAAUAUAUGUCUUUGUUAUCAAAAAAUUAGGCAUUAUAAAAUGUAUUUUAUCUUUUAUAUAGUCCAUUUCACAAAAUAGCCAUAAUGUUCUUUCAAGUAAGGAUUAUGGGAAAUUAAAUGCUCUUAUGUUUAAAAUAGAUAUUUAUAUCCUCUGUAUCAUUUAUUAACUUAUCAGAAUCAUUUUCCACUUUAAGAUCCAAAGUAUACUUAAUAAUUAAUAAUAUAGCUUUUGCCAUGCUUUUUUUAAACCUUAGUCAAAAUAUAGUAACUUAGAUUUUUUAAUAUGUUACUACAGUUUUAAACCAGUAUUGGGAAUGCUUUGAUAUUGUAAUGUCUACAAUAUAUUUGGGGUAAAGUGUUGAGAGAAAUUAGAAGAUGGAAUUUUGGUAUUUUGGAACUAGACUGUGUGGCCAAGCAUAUAGAAAUGCAGAAUGUUGCCAGACACAGUGGCUCACACCUGCAGUCUCAGCACUUUGGGAGGCAGAGGUGGGUGGAUCACUUGAGGUCAGGAGUUCCAGACCAGCCUGGCCAACAUGGUGAAACCCCAUCUCUACUAAAAAUACAAAAAUUAGCCGGGCAUGGUGGUGCAUGCCUAUAAUCCCAGCUACUCGGGAGGCUGGGGCAAGAGAAUUUCUUGAGUCCCGGGGGCAGAGGUGGCAGUGAGCUGAGAUCAUGCCAUUGUACUCCAGCCUGCGCGAUAAAGCGAAACUGUCUCAAAAAAAAAAAGGAAAGAAA